GAAAUGCGAUAAGUAAUGUGAAUUGCAGAAUUCAGUGAAUCAUCGAAUCUUUGAACGCACAUUGCGCCCGCCAGUAUUCUGGCGGGCAUGCCUGUUCGAGCGUCAUUACAACCCUCAGGCCCCCGGGCCUGGCGUUGGGGAUCGGCGGAAGCCCCCUGCGGGCACAACGCCGUCCCCCAAAUACAGUGGCGGUCCCGCCGCAGCUUCCAUUGCGUAGUAGCUAACACCUCGCAACUGGAGAGCGGCGCGGCCACGCCGUAAAACACCCAACUUCUGAAUGUUGACCUCGAAUCAGGCAGGAAUACCCGCUGAACUUAAGC
rnacentral:misc_RNA from 1 species